AUUGAACGCUGGCGGCAUGCUUUACACAUGCAAGUCGAACGGUAACAGGCCUUCGGGUGCUGACGAGUGGCGAACGGGUGAGUAAUGCAUCGGAACGUGCCCAAUCGUGGGGGAUAACGUAGCGAAAGUUACGCUAAUACCGCAUAAGCCCUGAGGGGGAAAGUGGGGGACCGCAAGGCCUCACGCGAAUGGAGCGGCCGAUGUCAGAUUAGCUAGUUGGUGGGGUAAAGGCUCACCAAGGCGACGAUCUGUAGCGGGUCUGAGAGGAUGAUCCGCCACACUGGGACUGAGACACGGCCCAGACUCCUACGGGAGGCAGCAGUGGGGAAUUUUGGACAAUGGGCGCAAGCCUGAUCCAGCCAUGCCGCGUGCGGGACGAAGGCCUCGGUUGUAAGUACGACUU
rnacentral:rRNA from 1 species